CCUACGAGUGGCAGCAGUGAGGAAUAUUGGUCAAUGGGCGAGAGCCUGAACCAGCCAAGUCGCGUGAGGGAAGACGGUCCUACGGAUUGUAAACCUCUUUUGUCAGGGAGCAAGGAGCGCCACGAGUGGUGCGGCGAGAGUACCUGAAGAAAAAGCAUCGGCUAACUCCGUGCCAGCAGCCGCGGUAAUACGGAGGAUGCGAGCGUUAUCCGGAUUUAUUGGGUUUAAGGGGUGCGCAGGCGGAAGCGGCAAGUCAGCGGUAAAAUUGCGGGCCCAAACCUGGCCGUGCCGUUGAAACUGUUCUUCUUGAGUGGUCGAGAGGUAAGCGGAAUGCGGGGUGUAGCGGUGAAAUGCAUAGAUAUCCGGCGGAACACCGGUGGCGAAGGCAGAAUGCUGGAGCGUAACUGACGCUGAGGCGCGAAAGCGUGGGGAGCGAACAGGAUUAGAUACCCUAGUAGUC
rnacentral:rRNA from 1 species